AGUUUUAGUGGGAGCAUAUGAAUCAUAUUCAAUAACUUCCCAAAUAUUGUAAUCAAUAGAUUGAACAUAUAUCAUCAUCCUAGCCUUCCAAUAGUUAUAAUGGGUACCAUUAAAGAAAGGCGGUCGGUUUGUAGAGUGCCCCUCACUAUUUUGAAAAACUUGGUUAGCCAUUACUCAAGAUUGUAGAAU